CUCCCUCGUUAUUUUCUCCUCUUCUUUCUCUCCCUCUGAGCAACCUCAUCCUUCCCCAUUUUCAUUUUUUUUUCUUUUCUUUUCUUUUUCUUCUCUUUCUUCUUCUUCCUCUCACUUAAAUCCACAAUAAACCCAUGAAAAGGGUAUACAUUUUCUAAGCAAGAUUCCUCAUAUUUUCACAAGUUCUUGGGUAUAAUUUUUGGGUUAGGGUUUGUCCUCUAAAGAAGGAGAAGAGUAUUCAUCUCUUGAGAGUUGUUUAUUGAGACUCAUUGAGGGAGGGUUACCCGUUAGAUGGAGCCGCUCCUAUGAAAAAUGUCAUCCGUAGGAGGAAAGGACUAUCAACGUGUGAUAUUUGCAGGCAGCUGAGUAGCAAGCUGUUAAUAGAUUCAAGUCACGACUAUAUUUCUUUUUUUGGUAGGCCUCUUUGAUCGAGGACCAAUUUUUUGUAAAAUAUGUCGAGUCUAAUGUAAUUUACAGCUAUUUUGGAGUCUAGAAGUUUUUUUUUUUUGAAGUGUAUUAAACAAUUAGAUUAUGUUCUUUGAAUUGUGAUUGAAUUGAAAGUUAAAUAGAGAUUCUAUAAAUUUGGGAAUGUUAAAGUUA